CGGUUAGAACAACAACGUAGAACAUAUGACUAUACUCAUGUCGUGUGUAUUUACAUUUUACUACAAAUUUUUUAUACAUAUUUUCGCCGACACAGACACACCACCACACUCAACACACAAUGCACACACUAUUCUGCUUGCUUGCUCCUUUUUAAUUUCAUUCUCUCUCUCUCUUCAUUACUCCAAGCUUCGAAUCUCUAUCUGUCUCUUUCUUUAAUGGCUUUCCAUUCUACAACCAGUCACCAUCUCAAACCCAACUACUCCUCUUCUUCCUCUUCAUCUUCUUUGUCCUCUCUUAUUCCUCCAUGUUUCUCUUGCAUGUACUCUUCUUCCUUACCUGAAUCACACUUUUGA